UACGAAGGGGGCUAGCGUUGUUCGGAAUUACUGGGCGUAAAGCGUAUGUAGGCGGAUCUUUAAGUCAGGGGUGAAAUCCCGAGGCUCAACCUCGGAACUGCCUUUGAUACUGGGGAUCUUGAGUCCGGGAGAGGUGAGUGGAACUGCGAGUGUAGAGGUGAAAUUCGUAGAUAUUGGGAAGAACACCGGUGGCGAAGGCGGCUCACUGGCCCGUAACUGACGCUCAGGCGCGAUAGCGUGGGGAUCAAACAGG
rnacentral:rRNA from 1 species